GCCUUGUUAGCGCAGUAGGUAGCGCGUCAAUCUCAAAGUCUGAAGGUUGUGAGUUUAAUCCUCACACGGGGCA